CCUACGGGUGGCUGCAGUGGGGAAUAUUGCACAAUGGGCGCAAGCCUGAUGCAGCCAUGCCGCGUGUGUGGAGAAGGCCUUCGGGUUGUAAAGCACUUUCAGCGGGGAGGAAGGCGGUGAGGUUAAUAACCUCAUCGAUUGACGUUACCCGCAGAAGAAGCACCGGCUAACUCCGUGCCAGCAGCCGCGGUAAUACGGAGGGUGCAAGCGUUAAUCGGAAUUACUGGGCGUAAAGCGCACGCAGGCGGUCUGUCAAGUCGGAUGUGAAAUCCCCGGGCUCAACCUGGGAACUGCAUUCGAAACUGGCAGGCUAGAGUCUUGUAGAGGGGGGUAGAAUUCCAGGUGUAGCGGUGAAAUGCGUAGAGAUCUGGAGGAAUACCGGUGGCGAAGGCGGCCCCCUGGACAAAGACUGACGCUCAGGUGCGAAAGCGUGGGAGCAAACAGGAUUAGAUACCCUGGUAGUC
rnacentral:rRNA from 1 species